UACCAUGCAGUCGAGCGCCCCGCAAGGGGAGCGGCAGACGGGUGAGUAACGCGUGGGAAUCUACCUUUUGCUACGGAAUAACUCAGGGAAACUUGUGCUAAUACCGUAUGUGCCCUUCGGGGGAAAGAUUUAUCGGCAAAGGAUGAGCCCGCGUUGGAUUAGCUAGUUGGUGGGGUAAUGGCCCACCAGGGCGACGAUCCAUAGCUGGUCUGAGGGGAUGAUCAGCCACACUGGGACUGAGACACGGCCCAGACUCCUACGGGAGGCAGCAGUGGGGAAUAUUGGACAAUGGGCGCAAGCCUGAUCCAGCCAUGCCGCGUGAGUGAUGAAGGCCCUAGGGUUGUAAAGCUCUUUCACCGGUGAAGAUAAUGACGGUAACCGGAGAAGAAGCCCCGGCUAACUUCAAGACARCGWCUG
rnacentral:rRNA from 1 species